CACCCGAACCUAAGGAAGGAGCAGCAGCACCGGCGGCACCAGUAAAAGGCCAUGUUGGUAGGGGAGCUCCUGGCCCCAUGGACAGACAAAGAGAACCUCGGGGGUGGCAGGCGGGAGCCCAGGCAUCCUGAGGACAGGCAGCGGCCCUUCUACUGCACCGCUUUCACCCUGUUGCAGGUCCAGGAGCAGGAGAGCAUCUUACAACAAAUUCCCUACUCAGGCAUGUUAGCAUGAAAGGAGCUUGCAAGAUUCAUGCAUGUGACUGAGGCCAGCAUGCAGCUUCACAAGAAUUCCGGGAAUAGCAAGACAUGGAAACAACCCACGUGUCCAUUGAUGGAUGAAUGGAUAAAGAAGAUGUGGGGUAUACAUACAUAUGUAUAUGUAUGUAUGUAUAUUUACAAUGGGAUAUUAUUCAGCCGUGAGAAAAGAGAAAAUGCUG
rnacentral:lncRNA from 1 species